GUGGGGAAUAUUGGACAAUGGGCGAAAGCCUGAUCCAGCCAUGCCGCGUGUGUGAAGAAGGUCUUCGGAUUGUAAAGCACUUUAAGUUGGGAGGAAGGGCAGUAAGUUAAUACCUUGCUGUUUUGACGUUACCGACAGAAUAAGCACCGGCUAACUUCGUGCCAGCAGCCGCGGUAAUACGAAGGGUGCAAGCGUUAAUCGGAAUUACUGGGCGUAAAGCGCGCGUAGGUGGUUUUGUAAGUUGGAGGUGAAAUCCCCGGGCUCAACCUGGGAACUGCCUCCAAAACUGCAUGACUAGAGUACGGUAGAGGGUAGUGGAAUUUCCGGUGUAGCGGUGAAAUGCGUAGAUAUAGGAAGGAACACCAGUGGCGAAGGCGACUACCUGGACUGAUACUGACACUGAGGUGCGAAAGCGUGGGGAGCAAACAGGAUUAGAAACCCGUGUAGUCC
rnacentral:rRNA from 1 species